AGAUAACAUGGUCAUAAUUGAUACAUCAAUGCAAGCUUGCUUGCGUAUUGAUGUAUCAAUUCAUGACCUGAAAAAGCAUGAGUAAAAAAAUGGGGUAGGGGCCCCAUGAUUUACGAAUGCUUUUGAGGAUUGUGAAAGUGCGAAGCACGUAACAAUCCGUGUUAUCU
rnacentral:sRNA from 1 species